GUUGUCAUGGCGGCCUAAUCGUUACAAUUAAAACAGAGCACAUUUGACCUCGGAUUGGCUCGGCGUUUUUGAUCGCAGGUUGUCUGGCACGAUGAUUGGUUGGGAUGUCUUCGAAACGACCCGCCUACUUCGCUCAUUGGUCGACACCAUGCACACAACGUGGGGUGGUGGGGGCGAUCUUAUUUCAGAAGGGAAAAAAAUAAAAGCCGUUCGCGCUGAGUGCGCAUGUCAGCACGAACAGCGCGUUCGCCAUUUUGUUCUCGACGCAGAUAUUUUGGACCCACUGACGCCGUGCUCUGCGAUGUCGAGCUCACCAGGAAACUUGAGUUCAUGCAGCACCCCUGGAGCCUUGCUCAAGGGCCCAACAGUAGCAGCUUUGCAGUGCUGGGGCUUGAACCCCCGACCUUCUGAUCACUAACCAAAAUCGUAAUCGAGUGGAUGUCUGCUGCUGUAGCCUGUUCCCCUCAAUGUUUGGCAUUCUUGUGCAUUGCGAAAUGCUUUUCUGCUCAUUACAGAUGUAAAGAGUUAUUACAGUCACCUUCCUGUCAGCAAUCUGGUCUUAUUUUUGGCCUUCUUUGACCUCUAAAUGCAUUUCCUCUUUUUUCCCCCCAUUUUCAUGUACCGUUCUGCUGCAACAUUAGCUAUUUAGAUUAUGACAUGAAUGUGCAGUUAAACAGAUGUUCCUAAUUAAGUAAACAAAGUUACCCCUGUGGCUGAACCUGUCUGGUAUAUUUUAUAACAUCAGUCUGCCAAUUUUAACAUUAUACUGCGAUCUGGUUUAAAACAGCCUUUAUACCUUUACACCUAUACCUAUUAGUUAAGAUGCUAAGCUUAGAACUUAGUGAAAACAGUACGUCAGUGUUAUGAAAUGCUAUAAAUGGACAAACGGUUGCUCUGCUGUUCCU